rnacentral:pre_miRNA from 1 species
AAAGUAUUACCUCCGUCCCAAAUUAGUUGUCUUAGAUUUGUCAAGAUACAAAUGUAUCAAACACUAAAACGUGUCUAGAUACAUCCGUAUCUAGACAAAUCUGAGUCAACUAAUUCGGGACAGAGGGAGUAGAUU